rnacentral:rRNA from 1 species
UACGUAGGGGGCAAGCGUUGUCCGGAAUCAUUGGGCGUAAAGCGCGUGUAGGCGGCUGGGUAAGUCCGCUCUGAAAGCCCGGGGCUCAACCCCGGGAGGCGGGUGGAUACUGCCCAGCUCGAGUCCGGAAGAGGAGUGUGGAAUUCCUGGUGUAGCGGUGAAAUGCGCAGAUAUCAGGAGGAACACCAAUGGCGAAGGCAGCACUCUGGGACGGUACUGACGCUGAGACGCGAAAGCGUGGGGAGCAAACAGG